GCUGCUUAUGAAAAUAAUGAUAAUCAUAAUGAUAAGAUGAUAACAUUGAUAAUCUAAAGAACAAUGAGAAUAAAUACAUCAAAAUAAAAAAUCGUGAAGAUACUAGAUAAAGGGUGACCUGGCAACCCAUCCACUGAACCUACCUGCCCUGUAAAUUCUUCGACGACGAGCCUAGUCGUCAGUGAAAAAGAAAAAAGUCGGAAGAGAACACGCACAAUGAACAAGCAUAUUUCCCUGUUCUUUUUAUUAUUUUCGUCCGCGGUGCUCAUGCCGGGGGUGCGAGCAGGACCCUUGCCGAAGGACUGCAACCCUCCGACGCGUGACUGCCCGUCGGCGGGGAGGCGGAGGGAAGCAAGGCGGCGUGUCUGCUUUAGGUCGCCCUGCCCCUGUGAUGGACAUAGGACAGUGUGAUCGACAUCUGUUACAAGGGCUUCGGUUGCGGAUAAAUGCUUUCUCAAUCUUCAAGUCGGAUUUCUCAAUUUUUAACAGCGCGAGGUCGAAAAAUAGAACGGUAAUCAAUCAAACGAGGAUGCACUCGUUUCUGACUCCCAAGAACCCCUUCAAGCUAAUCUGGAGGAGAGGACCAGUCCUUUAUUAGAUGAUAUAACGGAAGUCGCCCAAGAGCCCGAGAAGGAGACCCAGGAAGUCGCCCAAGAGCCCGAGAAGAGACCCAGGAAGUCGCCCAAGAGCCCGAGAAGGAGACCCAGGAAGU